UAUUCGCAUGGUAGAGUCCAACACGAUUUUGACGCAUACGAGUUCGUUGGAGUCCGUCAUUAAGCCAGCCAAGGUAUAUCCUGGCAAAAGACGCUUGGUGCAACCAAUAGCCGAACUGGGCGAUAUUCCUGGACCAUCGCAUGAAUAUGUUCAUGUCACAUCAAAUAUAUACACAGUUCCGGGCUCCAAAGACACUCUUUCCAGGGAGAGCAGCUCAAAUCACUCAGCUCGAAUGGCCCCUGAAUUGUGUACCCCGAAAAA